rnacentral:lncRNA from 1 species
GUUGGGAAUCACAGCCCAUGCAUGGACAAGCCUGUAUUGAGACUGCUGUAAUCCCUGGGUGGAGCAGAGGGAGCGAAGGAGAGGUGCAAAAUCCACAGAUCCUUGGAUCCUCCUCUUUCUCAUUUUCUUGGCCACCUUGGGGGAGUCCUGCCUGUCAUCCAAGCUUGAACCCUCUGCUCCAGAGCAUGCUCAGCACUCUGGUCCCGUGUGAAGACCCAGGGGCUGACAGAGGUUCUUUAGCUGCAGCACCCCAGUGA